rnacentral:rRNA from 1 species
CCUACGGGAGGCAGCAGUGGGGAAUAUUGCACAAUGGGGGAAACCCUGAUGCAGCGACGCCGCGUGAGUGAAGAAGUAAUUCGUUACGUAAAGCUCUAUCAGCAGGGAAGAAAAUGACGGUACCUGACUAUGAAGCCCCGGCUAACUACGUGCCAGCAGCCGCGGUAAUACUACGGGGGCAAGCGUUAUCCGGUUUGACUGGGUGGAAAGGGAGCGUAGACGGCAGUGCAAGUAUGGAGUGAAAGGCGUGGGCUCAACCCCCUGAGUGCUCUGGAAACUGUACGGCUGGAGUGCAGUAGAGGUGAGUGGAAUUCCUAGUGUAGCGGUGAAAUGCGUAGAUAUUAGGAGGAACACCAGUGGCGAAGGCGGCUUACUGGACUGUAACUGACGUUGAGGCUCGAAAGCGUGGGGAGCAAACAGGAUUAGAUACCCCUGUAGUC